GACGAACGCUGGCGGCGUGCUUAACACAUGCAAGUCGAACGGUAAGGCCCUUCGGGGUACACGAGUGGCGAACGGGUGAGUAACACGUGGGUGAUCUGCCCUGCACUUCGGGAUAAGCCUGGGAAACUGGGUCUAAUACCGGAUAGGACUCCUGGCUUCAUGGUUGGGGGUGGAAAGCUUUUGCGGUGUGGGAUGGGCCCGCGGCCUAUCAGCUUGUUGGUGGGGUAAUGGCCUACCAAGGCGACGACGGGUAGCCGGCCGGAGAGGGUGACCGGUCACACUGGGACUGAGAUACGGCCCAGACUCCUACGGGAGGCAGCAGUGGGGAAUAUUGCACAAUGGGCGCAAGCCUGAUGCAGCGACGCCGCGUGAGGGAUGACGGCCUUCGGGUUGUAAACCUCUUUCAGCUAUGACGAAGCGCAAGUGACGGUAGUAGCAGAAGAAGGACCGGCCAACUACGUGCCAGCAGCCUCCGUAA
rnacentral:rRNA from 1 species